GCUUCUAUAGCUCAAUUGGGAGAGCAUUCGACUGAAGAUAUUCAGUCAUCGCAAUCGAAAGGUCCCCCGUUCGAUCCGGGGUGGAAGCA